AGUCAAUACAGACGUGAGCAGAACCAAGUUGUGUCCUCGUAUCUGUAUACUCAAACAUCUCCCUUCUCAGGUGCGACUUAUACUCCGGCGCGACUUAUACUCCGAAAAAUACGCCUUGGAGUGUGUGCUCUCCUCACGUGGACUUGCAGCCUACCUUGCAUCUGUCCCGCCUGGCUGCUGAAGAGAGUGGACGAGCAGCCGAUCUCCGUCCCCAGGAGAGAGCCGUAAUCUUGCUGGAACACUGAGGGGGGAGGAGGAGUGUAGAGGUGAGCCAACAUGUGUGACCUCGCCGACCUUAUCGACCUUUACGCAGUUAUCUCUUUAUCGCUGCACGUUUAUAGACCGCAAACUUGACAAUGACGGUUUCAUCUUCAAGUACGCUCAUGGACAGUGCUAGAAGACAUACAGUCGUACAUACACUUGUAAAGUCAUUGUCCUGUUGGAACACCCAACUGCGCCCAAGACCCAACCUCCGGGCUGAUGACCUUAGGUUGUCCUGAAGAAUUUGGAGGUAAUCCUCCUUUUUCAUUGUCCCCAUUUACUCUCUGUAAAGCACCAGUUCCAUUGGCAGCAAAACAGGCCCAGAGCAUAACACUACCACCACCAUGCUUGACGGUAGGCAUGGUGUUCCUGGGAUUAAAGGCCUCACCUUUUCUCCUUGAAACAUAUUGCUGGGUAUUGUGGCCAAACAGCUCCAUUUUUUGUUUCAUCUGACCACAGAACUUUCCUCCAGAAGGUCUUAUCUUUGUCCAUGUG